rnacentral:misc_RNA from 1 species
UCUCCGUAGGUGAACCUGCGGAGGGAUCAUUACCGAGUGAGGGUUCCGGCCCGACCUCCAACCCUUUGUGAAUUCGACCCAGUUGCCUCGGGGGGCGACCCGGCCUCCGCGCCGGGCGACCCCAGAGGUGCACCCAACUCUGCAUCUUUGCGUCGGAGUAUUGAAAGCAAAUCAAUCAAAACUUUCAACAACGGAUCUCUUGGUUCUGGCAUCGAUGAAGAACGCAGC